rnacentral:tRNA from 1 species
AGCAGAGUGCGGCAGUGGAAGCGUGCUGGGUCCAUAACCCAGAGGUCUGUGGAUCAAAACCACGAUCUGCUA